ACUCCUACGGGAGGCAGCAGUGGGGAAUAUUGCACAAUGGGCGCAAGCCUGAUGCAGCCAUGCCGCGUGUGUAGAAGCAAGGCCUUCGGGUUGAUAAGCACUUUCAGUUGUGAGGAAAGGUUAGUCGCUAAUAUCGGCUAGCUGUGACGUUAGCAACAGAAGAAGCACCGGCUAACUCCGUGCCAGCAGCCGCGGUAAUACGGAGGGUGCGAGCGUUAAUCGGAAUUACUGGGCGUAAAGCGCAUGCAGGUGGUUUGUUAAGUCAGAUGUGAAAGCCCGGGGCUCAACCUCGGAAUAGCAUUUGAAACUGGCAGACUAGAGUACUGUAGAGGGGGGUAGAAUUUCAGGUGUAGCGGUGAAAUGCGUAGAGAUCUGAAGGAAUACCGGUGGCGAAGGCGGCCCCCUGGACAGAUACUGACACUCAGAUGCGAAAGCGUGGGGAGCAAACAGGAUUAGAUACCCUGGUAGGCUCU
rnacentral:rRNA from 1 species